ACUUACCAAACCGAUGCAAACUCCGAAUACCAAUGAGUACUAUCCGGGAGACAGACUGCGGGUGCUAACGUCCGUAGUCAAGAGGAAAACAAUCCAGACCGCCAGCUAAGGCCCCAAAAUUAUAGUUAAGUGGGAAACGAUGUGGGAAGGCAUAGACAGCUAGGAGGUUGGCUUAGAAGCAGCCAUCCUUUAAAGAAAGCGUAAUAGCUCACUAGUCGAGUCGGCCUGCGCGGAAGAUGUAACGGGGCUAAACCAUGCACCGAAGCUGCGGCAGCGACACUAUGUGUUGUUGGGUAGGGGAGCGUUCUGUAAGCCGUUGAAGGUGGCCUGUGAGGGUUGCUGGAGGUAUCAGAAGUGCGAAUGCUGACAUAAGUAACGUUAAAGCGGGUGAAAAGCCCGCUCGCCGGAAGACCAAGGGUUCCUGUCCAACGUUAAUCGGGGCAGGGUGAGUCGACCCCUAAGGCGAGGCUGAAAAGCGUAGUCGAUGGAAAACAGGUUAAUAUUCCUGUACUUGUUAUUACUGCGAUGGGAUGACGGAGAAGGUUAGAUCAGCCAACUGUUGGAUAUGUUGGUUUAAGUGUGUAGACGUGUUGAGUAGGCAAAUCCGCUCGACUUAGUUGAGACAUGAUGACGAGCUUCAAUAGAAGUGAAGUGAUUGAUACCCGGCUUCCAGGAAAAGUCUCUAAGCUUCAGGUAAUAACGAACCGUACCCCAAACCGACACAGGUGGAUGGGAUGAGUAUUCUAAGGCGCUUGAGAGAACUCGGGAGAAGGAACUCGGCAAAUUGACACCGUAACUUCGGAAGAAGGUGUGCCUCA
rnacentral:rRNA from 1 species